ensembl:miRNA mdo-mir-12364 mdo-mir-12364
GCCGCCACAAACUCUGCCCCUAAGCUUGAGCUUUCGAGCAGCGUUUAGUGGCUAC